rnacentral:rRNA from 1 species
UAGGGGGCAAGCGUUAUCCGGAUUUACUGGGUGUAAAGGGAGCGUAGACGGCGCUGCAAGUCUGGAGUGAAAGCCCGGUGCUUAACACCGGGACUGCUUUGGAAACUGUAACGCUGGAGUGCCGGAGGGGCAGGCGGAAUUCCUGGUGUAGCGGUGAAAUGCGUAGAUAUCAGGAAGAACACCAGUGGCGAAGGCGGCCUGCUGGACGGUAACUGACGUUGAGGCUCGAAAGCGUGGGGAGCAAA